UACGUAGGGGGCAAGCGUUGUCCGGAUUUAUUGGGCGUAAAGCGCGUGUAGGCGGCUCUUCAAGUCAGGCGUGAAAGCCCCGGGCUCAACUCGGGAACUGCGCUUGAUACUGUCGAGCUAGAGUGUGGAAGGGGCGAUUGGAAUUCCGUGUGUAGCGGUGAAAUGCGUAGAUAUACGGAGGAACACCAGAGGCGAAGGCGGAUCGCUGGGCCAACACUGACGCUGAGACGCGAAAGCUAGGGUAGCAAACGGG
rnacentral:rRNA from 1 species